rnacentral:rRNA from 1 species
UACGUAGGUGGCAAGCGUUGUCCGGAUUUACUGGGCGUAAAGGCUGCGUAGGCGGAUACUUAAGUCAGAUGUGAAAAUCCCGGGCUUAACUUGGGAACUGCAUUUGAAACUGGGUAUCUAGAGUGCGGGAGAGGAAAGUGGAAUUCCUAGUGUAGCGGUGAAAUGCGUAGAGAUUAGGAAGAACACCAGUGGCGAAGGCGACUUUCUGGACCGUAACUGACGCUGAGGCAUGAAAGCGUGGGGAGCAAACAGG